GACGAACGCUGGCGGCGUGCCUAAUACAUGCAAGUAGAACGCACAGUUUAUACCGUAGCUUGCUACACCAUAGACUGUGAGUUGCGAACGGGUGAGUAACGCGUAGGUAACCUGCCUGGUAGCGGGGGAUAACUAUUGGAAACGAUAGCUAAUACCGCAUAAUAUUAAUUAUUGCAUGAUAAUUAAUUGAAAGGUGCAAUUGCACCACUACCAGAUGGACCUGCGUUGUAUUAGCUAGUAGGUGAGGUAACGGCUCACCUAGGCGACGAUACAUAGCCGACCUGAGAGGGUGAUCGGCCACACUGGGACUGAGACACGGCCCAGACUCCUACGGGGGGCAGCAGUAGGGAAUCUUCGGCAAUGGACGAAAGUCUGACCGAGCAACGCCGCGUGAGUGAAGAAGGUUUUCGGAUCGUAAAGCUCUGUUGUAAGAGAAGAACGGGUGUGAGAGUGGAAAGUUCACACUGUGACGGUAUCUGACCAGAAAGGGACGGCUAACUACGUG
rnacentral:rRNA from 1 species